rnacentral:rRNA from 1 species
UACGUAGGGUGCGAGCGUUAAUCGGAAUUACUGGGCGUAAAGUGUGCGCAGGCGGCCGAGCAAGUCGAGUGUGAAAGCCCCGAGCUUAACUUGGGAACUGCGCUCGAAACUACUUGGCUAGAGUGUGGCAGAGGGAGGUGGAAUUCCACGUGUAGCGGUGAAAUGCGUAGAUAUGUGGAGGAACACCGAUGGCGAAGGCAGCCCCCUGGGUUAACACUGACGCUCAUGCACGAAAGCGUGGGGAGCAAACAGG